UUCUGGUUUUUAAGCGCACGCAGGCGGCUUUUUAAGUGGGAUGUGAAAGCCCCGGGCUCAACCUGGGAAUUGCAUCUGAUACUGGCAAGCUAGAGUACGUGAGAGGGGGGUAGAAUUCCAAGUGUAGCGGUGAAAUGCGUAGAGAUUUGGAGGAAUACCAGUGGCGAAGGCGGCCCCCUGGCCCAAUACUGACGCUCAGGUGCGAAAGCGUGGGGAGCAAACAGGAUUAGAUACCCUGGUAGUCCACGCCGUAAACGAUGUCUACUAGAUGUUCGUGGCCUUGAACCGUGAGUAUCGGAGCUAACGCAUUAAGUAGACCGCCUGGGGAGUACGGCGCAAGAUUAAAACUCAAAUGAAUUGACGGGGGCCCGCACAAGCGGUGGAGCAUGUGUUUAAUUCGACGCAACGCGAAAAACCUUACCUACUCUUGACAUCUACCGAACUUGGCAGAGAUACCUUGGGUGCCUUCUGGAACUGUAACACAGGUGCUGCAUGGCUGUCGUCAGCUCGUGUUGUGAAAAUGUUGGGUUAGUCCCGCAACGAGCGCAACCCUUAUCCUUUUUGCCCGCGAUUCUUGCGGAAUCUAAGGAACUGCCGGGGAAAACCCGAAGAAGGUGGGGAACCCACCCCAAGUCCUUCAU
rnacentral:rRNA from 1 species